rnacentral:rRNA from 1 species
AGAAUCAACGCUGGCGGCGUGCCUAACACAUGCAAGUCGAACGAGAAAGUGGAGCAAUCCAUGAGUAAAGUGGCGACCGGGUGAGUAACACGUGACUAACCUACCCUAGAGUGGGGAAUAACUUCGGGAAACCGAGGCUAAUACCGCAUAACAUCGCAGAGGGAAGCUCUUUGCGAUCAAAGGAGCAAUUCGCUCAAGGAGGGGGUCGCGGCUGAUUAGUUAGUUGGUGAGGUAACGGCUCACCAAGACAAAGAUCAGUAUCCGGCCUGAGAGGGCGCACGGACACACUGGAACUGAAACACGGUCCAGACUCCUACGGGAGGCAGCAGUGGGGAAUUUUGCGCAAUGGGGAAACCCUGACGCAGCAACGCCGCGUGGAGGAUGAAGUCCCUUGGGAUGUAAACUCCUUUCGAUCGGGACGAUUAUGACGGUACCGGAAGAAGAAGCACCGGCUAACUCUGCGCCAGCAGCCGCGGUAA